rnacentral:rRNA from 1 species
CCUACGGGUGGCAGCAGUGGGGAAUAUUGCACAAUGGGGGAAACCCUGAUGCAGCGACGCCGCGUGAGUGAAGAAGUAAUUCGUUAUGUAAAGCCCUAUCAGCAGGGAAGAAAAUGACGGUACCUGAGUAAGCAGCCCCGGCUAACUACGUACCAGCAGCCGCGGUAAUCCGUAGGGGGCAAGCGUUAUCCGGAUUUACUGGGUGUAAAGGGAGCGUAGGCGGCAGUGAAAGUCUGGGGUGAAGGGCGGGGGCUCAACCCCCGGACUGCUCUGGAAACUGUUCGGCUGGAGUGCAGGAGAGGUAAGUGGAAUGCGUGGUGUAGCGGUGAAAUGCGUAGAUAUUACGAGGAACACCAGUGGCGAAGGCGGCAUACUGGACUGUAACUGACGUUGAGGCUCGAAAGCGUGGGGAGCAAACAGGAUUAGAUACCCCUGUAGUC